UCCCUGGUGGCUCAGAUGGUAAAGAAUCUGCCUGUAGUGCAGAAGACCCUGGUUCGAUCCUGGGUCAGGAAG
rnacentral:tRNA from 1 species